rnacentral:rRNA from 1 species
UACGGAGGGUGCGAGCGUUGUCCGGAAUCACUGGGCGUAAAGGGCGCGUAGGUGGCCGAGCAAGGUCGCGGUGAAAGCCCGGGGCUCAACCCCGGGUCGGCCGUGGCAACUACUUGGCUAGAGCACUGUAGGGGCGGGUGGAAUUCCGGGUGUAGCGGUGGAAUGCGUAGAGAUCCGGAAGAACACCGGUGGCGAAGGCGGCCCGCUGGGCAGGAAGGGGAGCAAUCCUCCGGCUGACACUGAGGCGCGACAGCGUGGGGAGCAAACAGG